rnacentral:rRNA from 1 species
AGAGCGAACGCUGGCGGCAGGCCUAACACAUGCAAGUCGAGCGCCGUAGCAAUACGGAGCGGCAGACGGGAGAGUAACACGUGGGAACGUACCCUUCAGUUCGGAACAACCCAGGGAAACUUGGGCUAAUACCGAAUACGUCCGUAAGGAGAAAGAUUUAUCGCUGAAGGAUCGGCCCGCGUCUGAUUAGCUUGUUGGUGAGGUAAUGGCUCACCAAGGCUACGAUCAGUAGCUGGUCUGAGAGGAUGAUCAGCCUCACUGGGACUGAGACACGGCCCAGACUCCUACGGGAGGCAGCAGUGGGAAUAUUGGACAAUGGGCGCAAGCCUGAUCCAGCCAUGCCGCGUGGGUGAUGAAGGCCCUAGGGUUGUAAAGCCCUUUCGGCGGGGAAGAUAAUGACGGUACCCGCAGAAGAAGCCCCGGCUAACUUCGCGCCAGCAGCCGC